AACGAACGCUGGCGGCAUGCCUAACACAUGCAAGUCGAACGAGCCCUUCGGGUCUAGUGGCGCACGGGUGCGUAACGCGUGGGAACCUGCCCUUAGGUUCGGAAUAACUCCCCGACAGGGGUGCUAAUACCGGAUCAUGUCUUCGGACCAAAGAUUUAUCGCCUUUGGAUGGUCCAGCGUUGGAUUCGCUAGUUGGUAGGGUAAAAGCCUACCACGGCGACGAUCCAUAAAUUGUCUGAGAGGAUGAUCAGCCACACUGGGACUGAGACACGGCCCAGACUCCUACGGGAGGCAGCAGUGGGUAAUAUUGGACAAUGGGCGAAAGCAUGAUCCAGCAAUGCCGCGUGAGUGAUGAAGGCCUUAGGGUUGUAAAGCGCUUUUAACCGUGAUGAUAAUGACAGUACCGGGAGAAUAAGCUCCGGCUAACUCCGUG
rnacentral:rRNA from 1 species